GCGAACGGGAUUAGAUACCCUGGUAGUCCACGCCGUAAACGAUGUCGACUUGGAGGUUGUUCCCUUGAGGAGUGGCUUCCGGAGCUAACGCGUUAAGUCGACCGCCUGGGGAGUACGGCCGCAAGGUUAAAACUCAAAUGAAUUGACGGGGGCCCGCACAAGCGGUGGAGCAUGUGGUUUAAUUCGAUGCAACGCGAAGAACCUUACCUACUCUUGACAUCCAGAGAACUUAGCAGAGAUGCUUUGGUGCCUUCGGGAACUCUGAGACAGGUGCUGCAUGGCUGUCGUCAGCUCGUGUUGUGAAAUGUUGGGUUAAGUCCCGCAACGAGCGCAACACUUAUCCUUUGUUGCCAGCGGUUAGGCCGGGAACUCAAAGGAGACUGCCAGUGAUAAACUGGAGGAAGGUGGGGAUGACGUCAAGUCAUCAUGGCCCUUACGAGUAGGGCUACACACGUGCUACAAUGGCGCAUACAAAGAGAAGCGACCUCGCGAGAGCAAGCGGACCUCAUAAAGUGCGUCGUAGUCCGGAUUGGAGUCUGCAACUCGACUCCAUGAAGUCGGAAUCGCUAGUAAUCGUAGAUCAGAAUGCUACGGUGAAUACGUUCCCGGGCCUUGUACACACCGCCCGUCACACCAUGGGAGUGGGUUGCAAAAGAAGUAGGUAGCUUAACCUUCGGGAGGGCGCUUACCACUUUGUGAUUCAUGACUGGGG
rnacentral:rRNA from 1 species